CCUACGGGGGGCAGCAGUGGGGAAUAUUGGACAAUGGGCGAAAGCCUGAUCCAGCCAUGCCGCGUGUGUGAAGAAGGCCUUCGGGUUGUAAAGCACUUUCAGUGGGGAAGAAAGCCUUGGGGCUAAUACCCUCGAGGAAGGACAUCACCCACAGAAGAAGCACCGGCUAACUCCGUGCCAGCAGCCGCGGUAAUACGGAGGGUGCGAGCGUUAAUCGGAAUUACUGGGCGUAAAGCGCGCGUAGGCGGUCUGAUAAGCCGGUUGUGAAAGCCCCGGGCUCAACCUGGGAACGGCAUCCGGAACUGUCAGGCUAGAGUGCAGGAGAGGAAGGUAGAAUUCCCGGUGUAGCGGUGAAAUGCGUAGAGAUCGGGAGGAAUACCAGUGGCGAAGACGGCCUUCUGGACUGACACUGACGCUGAGGUGCGAAAGCGUGGGUAGCAAACAGGAUUAGAUACCCGAGUAGUC
rnacentral:rRNA from 1 species